ensembl:lncRNA
AACUAAUUUGGGUUUUUAAAUCAGCUUUUCAGCCUAAGUGUUGCUUUGAGAGUAUGGAGUAAUCCUAAUGUUUUGUUUUCCAUUUUUUAUUAGAUUUUCAUCUAGAAGGAAUUUUUGCAUUGUGAAGGUAGAUAAAAAAAAUCUGAAAUUAUGUUUUAAGAUUUUGAAGGUAUGUUUGUAAGAAUUUAAAUUGCUCUGAAAGAGGGGAGCCAGAAAGGGAAAUACCAACUUGGCCUAGAGGAGCUCUGGGGUUGAUAUCAGAGUAAAAUUUCUAUAUGAAACACUUGAAAAAUACAAACUCCGAAAAAAAAAACCCAUCCUAAAGAAAAUCAGGAAGAGAUCCAUUUGCAGGAGACAUUAAUUUCAGCAUAAAAUCCAGCAAGUGGGAGUAAAAAUCAUUAUAUAAGGGCUACCUGAGGCUAUUGGAUGGCUCAGGGACCCAAAUGAAAUCCAUGUUCUGGUUUGGCUCCUCUGGAAUUUUCAGUCAAGGCUUGCUGGGAAUUCCUCUCUCUCCUGGUGCUGCUUUUGUCCUUGGUUUGGGUUUUCCUUCUGUGGAGGAGCUGAACAAGAAACACCAGAGGGGAAAGAAGGAGGACAACUCUUCUUUCCCAGGCCCUGGGGACACAGAUACCUGUGGGUUAUGAAGGUGAAGGAUGCUCCCAUGUGUUUUCUGACAUGUUUAUUUGUUAAAACCUCUGGUUUUUUAUGAGUUUCAUGGGACAGAGGUGUUUUCAUGGUGCUUUUGCCUGACCCAAGAAGUUGACAUUGUCAGAGGUGUUUGCUGAUUGUGCUGCUUCACCUCCCUCCUUUCAGGUCUCAGCUGAGAGUAUUUCUGAGGUGCUAGAAAUCACCUGGAAAUGUAUUUUCAAAUGCAGUUUGCUCUCCAUUUUGCAGAAUGUAAGCAAGAGAGAAGCUGGCCUGCCCAAAUGCAAGUGCUCCUUGGCUGUGCAGGAUGGAGAUGCAUAACUUUUCCUGAGGAACUAGUGAUAAUCCAGGAUGCUGGCAGGCCAUCAAGCGCUGUUUCUACAAAGGCUUGUGCUGAUGCCACUGGAACUUUCAUAGCCAGCCUGCUUUUCCCCAUCCAAAGUGCAAGCAAGGCUGAAAAUGGAGAGCUAUUAAAAGCCCAAAAGUUCCAAAUCCAGGUGGAGAGUGGUGUGUCAGCUGCUGGGGAGGAAGGACGUUUGAGCCCAAAAGGAGAAGAGUGCAUGGACUGGAACAAACUUCUCUGGCUUCAGGAAAACACACAGGAAGGAAAGAAACCAACCUGGCUCAGCAGUAAAACCCAGGAAAUUACAGAUUUUUGGGCUGGCAAUGCUGAGGAAUGCACAGCAGGUUGUGUAAAACUGUUGAAAAUCAGCUUGUCCUGCAGAACAGGUUUUCCAUAG